CCUACGGGUGGCAGCAAUGGGGAAUAUUGGACAAUGGGCGAAAGCCUGAUCCAGCCAUGCCGCGUGUGUGAAGAAGGCCUUCGGGUUGUAAAGCACUUUCAGUGGGGAAGAAAGCCUUGGGGCUAAUACCCUCGAGGAAGGACAUCACCCACAGAAGAAGCACCGGCUAACUCCGUGCCAGCAGCCGCGGUAAUACGGAGGGUGCGAGCGUUAAUCGGAAUUACUGGGCGUAAAGCGCGCGUAGGCGGUCUGAUAAGCCGGUUGUGAAAGCCCCGGGCUCAACCUGGGAACGGCAUCCGGAACUGUCAGGCUAGAGUGCAGGAGAGGAAGGUAGAAUUCCCGGUGUAGCGGUGAAAUGCGUAGAGAUCGGGAGGAAUACCAGUGGCGAAGGCGGCCUUCUGGACUGACACUGACGCUGAGGUGCGAAAGCGUGGGUAGCAAACAGGAUUAGAUACCCUAGUAGC
rnacentral:rRNA from 1 species